rnacentral:tRNA from 1 species
GCCCAGGUGGCAGAUUAGUGCUCCAGAUUUAGAAUUUGAAAAUAGGUCUUUGGCCUCCUGAGCA